rnacentral:rRNA from 1 species
UAAUACGAAGGGUGCAAGCGUUACUCGGAAUUACUGGGCGUAAAGCGUGCGUAGGUGGUUGUUUAAGUCUGUCGUGAAAGCCCUGGGCUCAACCUGGGAAUGGCGAUGGAAACUGGGCAACUAGAGUGUGGUAGAGGGUAGUGGAAUUUCCGGUGUAGCAGUGAAAUGCGUAGAGAUCGGAAGGAACAUCUGUGGCGAAGGCGACUACCUGGACCAACACUGACACUGAGGCACGAAAGCGUGGGGAGCAAACAGGAUUAGAUACCCUGGUAGUCCACGCCCUAAACGAUGCGAACUGGAUGUUGGGUGCAAUUUGGCACGCAGUAUCGAAGCUAACGCGUUAAGUUCGCCGCCUGGGGAGUACGGUCGCAAGACUG